rnacentral:rRNA from 1 species
UACGGAGGGAGCUAGCGUUGUUCGGAAUUACUGGGCGUACAGCGCGCGUAGGCGGCUUUGUAAGUUAGAGGUGAAAGCCCGGAGCUCAACUCCGGAACUGCCUUUAAGACUGCAUCGCUUGAAUCCAGGAGAGGUGAGUGGAAUUCCGAGUGUAGAGGUGAAAUUCGUAGAUAUUCGGAAGAACGCCAGUGGCGAAGGCGGCUCACUGGACUGGUAUUGACGCUGAGGUGCGAAAGCGUGGGGAGCAAACAGG